CCAUUGCCUGGAGACAUAAUAUUCAGUUAUAAUGGGGGUGACUCCAAUUCCACACCGGGAACAACUCUGCACAACAGGAUACCUUAAGUAGCGCUUUCAAGUACAACAAAGAGGAAAGACACUGCUGAGUAUCAGAUUAAUUAUCGGCAACUGAUGGAAGAUCUCCGGGCAGAGGGGCGAACAGGACCGGAUGGUAAUUGUAUGUGUAACUUUUAUGACACUGGGAUGUACCUGCUGUGCACCUGUUUCUCGGAAACUGUGGUAGGAUACAAAUAUGGGAGAGACUACAAGAAACAGACCCAGGAAACAAAUGUUUUGGUAUCACUGUCUCAGAUUUUAAUAAAGGCAAAAUGAUAUCUUUGCACUUUGGUGCUGAUGUGGAGGGCUGAUAAUUGCCUGCUCAUUUAAUUGUUAUUCUCAUUUAUCUUUCUUUG